UACAGAGGGUGCGAGCGUUGUUCGGAAUUAUUGGGCGUAAAGGGUUCGUAGGCGGUGCGGCAAGUUGGGAGUGAAAUCUCUGGGCUUAACCCAGAGGCUGCUUCCAAAACUGCUGUGCUUGAGUGUGGGAGAGGCGCGUGGAAUUGCAGGUGUAGCGGUGAAAUGCGUAGAUAUCUGCAGGAACACCCGUGGCGAAAGCGGCGCGCUGGACCACUACUGACGCUGAGGAACGAAAGCUAGGGGAGCAAACAGG
rnacentral:rRNA from 1 species